CGCAUGGGGUGCCGUCAUGGGUAUCGAGAAAAACAAUUACCGCAAGUGCCAAAAUAAGACAGACAUUCAUGAACGCAAGAAUGAACCAGCAAGUGAACUGGGACCUUGGGAGCAGAUGUUCACAAUACUACCUCUCUGUUACUACUCUGCCAUCAUCCCUCAGAUGUAUUUUGCACCUCUCAAGAUGCAAUAAAAGCUGAAAAGAACAAACUUACCUUUCGACAAUCAGCUGAGCUAGAACUGGUUCCUCGUAGGCCUCGGAUGUGGGCAUCGGGGCAGGAGCCUCCUCCUGGGGAACAGGCUCGUCAUCACUGUACUUGAAGGAUGGGGGAGCACGGUC